GUGCCAGCCGCCGCGGUAAGACGAACCGUGCGAACGUUGUUCGGAAUCACUGGGCUUAAAGGGCGCGUAGGCGGCCAGACCAGUCUGGGGUGAAAUCCAUCGGCUCAACCGGUGGACGGCCUGGGAUACUGUCUGGCUGGAGGGGGGUAGGGGCGACGGGAACGGCCAGUGGAGCGGUGAAAUGCGUUGAGAUUGGCAGGAACGCCGGUGGCGAAAGCGCGUCGCUGGACCCCACCUGACGCUGAGGCGCGAAAGCCAGGGGAGCAAACGGGAUUAGAAACCCGUGUAGUCC
rnacentral:rRNA from 1 species